rnacentral:rRNA from 1 species
CCUACGGGCGGCAGCAGUGAGGAAUAUUGGUCAAUGGACGAGAGUCUGAACCAGCCAAGUAGCGUGAAGGAUGACUGCCCUAUGGGUUGUAAACUUCUUUUAUAAAGGAAUAAAACGAGGCACGUGUGCCUUUUUGCAUGUACUUUAUGAAUAAGGAACGGCUAACUCCGUGCCAGCAGCCGCGGUAAUACGGAGGAUCCGAGCGUUAUCCGGAUUUAUUGGGUUUAAAGGGAGCGUAGAUGGGUUGUUAAGUCAGUUGUGAAAGUUUGCGGCUCAACCGUAAAAUUGCAAUUGAUACUGGCAGUCGUGAGUACAGUUGAGGUAAGCGGAAUUCGUGGUGUAGCGGUGAAAUGCUUAGAUAUCACGAAGAACCCCGAUUGCGAAGGCAGCUUACUAAACUGUGACUGACAUUGAUGCUCGAAAGUGUGGGUAUCAAACAGGAUUAGAUACCCGGGUAGUC